CUGAUACAUAUAUACUUUGUAAAUUCAUUGUGCCACACUGACACUGUUAAUCACAACAAAUCACCAUGGAUGAUGUAUACUCAGCCAGUUCCCUGGCGACUUUCAUUCCUUUAUUCAAUUUAUUUAGUUCUGAAUUUACUGUCAUGGAAUGUACUGUUACUUCACAUGAGCAAAUUAGGUUUACAUUACCAUGAAUUAAUCAACAAGGACAGCAUGUCUGAACUCUGGAGAAACUAGCUGACAAGCACAGCUCAACUGGGCACCUGUCUUCUUCUCCCUACCACAAUGAUUAACCUAGCUAGGUUCUUAACAACUCCAGUGGGCUUCACCUUUUCAAUAUUCUCAUCUUGCCAAGAACAUAUUCCAACAUGGAAGAGGGCAUAUUAUACAGAUUCUGAUGAGAUGAACUUUUCGAAAUGCGUAAAAAUUCCUUGCUGGCUACAACACAACACAUAGCUUGAAUUGGACGCCAUUGAAUAAUCUUAGCUUAACAGCUUCAUCUGAACAACAAGUUUAGCUAGGACCAUUCGGGCAGAUAGAGAUAAUUGUGUCGAUCAAUCAUGCCAUUGGCUCAAUCUACCAACCCCCAAUCUGGGAAGGAGAAAAAAUAUCAGUUUUCAGAGAAGAGAUUGAUCCAUCCGGGAAACGCCAAGCGCCAUACGUUGUGAUCUUGGAUGGAUAAGAGGGGAUGAUGCCAAUGAAAACUCAGGCCACAAUUAUUCAGACAACAAAUGGUAGAAACAAUCUUGCAUGCCUUGUUUAAAUUAUGCAGGGCAUGCAUGCCCAGAUCUUUGUAUGAGUGGUUCUGUGAAUGCAGUCAGGUUUCUCAUCGUUUUCAUAUGGAUGGAUGGAUGGUAGCUUUCUGAAUGCCUGCAUUUGCAUUUGCAUGCAUGCACUCUGCCAUUGGUCCCCUUAUCUCCUUCGGGCCAUUGCAGGACACUCACAGGUUCUCUCCUAUUGGAAUGAGUCCAGGCAUUGCUGCUAGCUACUCCCUCUGUCUCAUGUUUGAUUUUUUUUUUCUUAUAAUGUUUGAUCAUUUG
rnacentral:lncRNA from 1 species